CCGGCGCCUCCACCAUGAGCCGCUCGACGAGGCGGCUUCUGAUGGGGGCGAAAUAGGAUCGACGAGGGUGUAAAGAUCGUGUUUUUGCCCGGCAUUGUACCGCCGUUAUCGGGCUAACCUUAUAGUUGCCAACGACAACUAUGCGGAAGCACGUCUCGCCGCUUAAUGCGGUGCGAUAGCUUCAAAUCAAGCCCUAGGGGUUCGCACUUCUAGGCGGGGUUCGGAGGUACCUGGCAACAGAAACCUCCACU
rnacentral:tmRNA from 1 species